GAUGAACGCUGGCGGCGUGCCUAACACAUGCAAGUCGAGCGAUUUACUUCGGUAAAGAGCGGCGGACGGGUGAGUAACGCGUGGGUAACCUGCCCUGUACACACGGAUAACAUACCGAAAGAUAUGCUAAUAUGAGAUAAUAUACUUUUAUCGCAUGGUAGAAGUAUCAAAGCUUUUGCGGUACAGGAUGGACCCGCGUCUGAUUAGCUAGUUGGUAAGGUAACGGCUUACCAAGGCGACGAUCAGUAGCCGACCUGAGAGGGUGAUCGGCCACAUUGGAACUGAGACACGGUCCAAACUCCUACGGGAGGCAGCAGUGGGGAAUAUUGCACAAUGGGCGAAAGCCUGAUGCAGCAACGCCGCGUGAGCGAUGAAGGCCUUCGGGUCGUAAAGCUCUGUCCUCAAGGAAGAUAAUGACGGUACUUGGGGAGGAAGCCCCGGCUAACUACGUGCCAGCCGCCGCAGUAA
rnacentral:rRNA from 1 species